UACAGAAGUCGUCAAGCGUUGUUCGGAUUCAUUGGGCGUAAAGGGUGCGUAGGCGGCGCGGUAAGUCGGGUGUGAAAUCAUCGGAGCUUAACUCCGAAACUGCAUUCGAUACUGCCGUGCUUGAGGACUGGAGAGGAGACUGGAAUUUACGGUGUAGCGGUGAAAUGCGUAGAUAUCGUAAGGAAGACCAGUGGCGAAGGCGGGUCUCGUGGACAGUUCCAUGACGCUGGAGGCACGAAGGUCAGGGGAGCAAACGGG
rnacentral:rRNA from 1 species